UACGUAGGGGGCAAGCGUUGUCCGGAUUUAUUGGGCGUAAAGAGCGUGUAGGCGGUUUGGUAGGUCCGUUGUGAAAACUCGAGGCUCAACCUCGAGACGCCGAUGGAAACCAUCAGACUAGAGUCCGGAAGAGGAGAGUGGAAUUCCUGGUGUAGCGGUGAAAUGCGCAGAUAUCAGGAAGAACACCCGUGGCUAAGGCGGCUGACUGGACCAUAACUGACGCUGAUGCACGAAAGCUGGGGGAGCAAACAGG
rnacentral:rRNA from 1 species